rnacentral:rRNA from 1 species
UACGUAGGGGGCUAGCGUUGUCCGGAUUUAUUGGGCGUAAAGAGCGUGUAGGCGGCCAGGUAGGUCUGCUGUGAAAACUCGAGGCUCAACCUCGAGAUGUCGGCGGAAACCACUUGGCUAGAGUCCGGAAGAGGAGAGUGGAAUUCCUGGUGUAGCGGUGAAAUGCGCAGAUAUCAGGAAGAACACCUAUGGCGAAGGCAGCUCUCUGGGACGGUACUGACGCUGAGACGCGAAGGCGUGGGGAGCGAACAGG